rnacentral:rRNA from 1 species
AGAACGAACGCUGGCGGCAUGCCUAACACAUGCAAGUCGAACGAGAUCCUUCGGGGUCUAGUGGCGCACGGGUGCGUAACGCGUGGGAAUCUGCCCUUAGGUACGGAAUAACUCAGGGAAACUUGUGCUAAUACCGUAUGAUGUCUUCGGACCAAAGAUUUAUCGCCUAGGGAUGAGCCCGCGUAGGAUUAGCUAGUUGGUGGGGUAAAGGCCUACCAAGGCUACGAUCCUUAGCUGGUCUGAGAGGAUGAUCAGCCACACUGGGACUGAGACACGGCCCAGACUCCUACGGGAGGCAGCAGUGGGGAAUAUUGGACAAUGGGCGAAAGCCUGAUCCAGCAAUGCCGCGUGAGUGAAGAAGGCCUUCGGGUUGUAAAGCUCUUUUACCCGGGAAGAUAAUGACUGUACCGGGAGAAGUAACGCCCGGACUAACUCCGCGCCAGCAGCCGC